rnacentral:lncRNA from 1 species
CUUGUGGUGCAUAUGUGGGUGUUUGCAAUGAUCUCCUUUUAAGAAUGUAUGUUCCUUGAUGAGGACACCACAAGUACAUCUACACCAGCAGCACCUCAGGCGCCUCCAGUUGCUCCUCCACCUCAGGCGCCUACAGCUGAUCAUCCAGUUGGGCCAAUCACUCGGGCCUGUGCGAGAGAAUUAAACUUCAUCAUGCUGUUAAGGAACGAAGGCCCAGCGGAAUAAGAAGAUGGCCCAAUAGGGCAGCCCAGGUGGGGCGCCUAGGGUUGGGAGCCGCGGCCCUCCCCCUGGUCGCAUGCGCCCCCCUCCUGCCGUGGCGCCUCCUCCGGACUCCAGGGGCUGCGCCCCCUUUAUUUAGUCGGAGUCCCUUUUGUUUAUGACUUGAGUUUUGUUUUACAUCUAGCUUUAGCUACUCUCGAACACGCGCAAAUACGCGCUGUCCUUCUGUGAUUCAGAACUCCACCUUCGAGUGAUAUUUAGAUUGCUCACCUCUUUUUCUUGUUCUUCUUCGAUUGCGGACAGGAAUCGAUCUUCGUGAUCA